GUCAGGAUGGCCGAGCGGUCUAAGGCGCUGCGUUCAGGUCGCAGUCCGGUCUUCCGGGCGUGGGUUCGAAUCCCACUUCUGAGA
rnacentral:tRNA from 1 species